rnacentral:rRNA from 1 species
GGAUGCGAUCAUACCAGCACUAAAGCACCGGAUCCCAUCAGAACUCCGAGGUUAAGCGUGCUUGGGCGAGAGUAGUACUAGGGUGGGUGACCUCCUGGGAAGUCCUCGUGUUGCAUUCC